AUUGAACGCUGGCGGUAUGCUUAACACAUGCAAGUCGAACGGUAACAGGCUAGCUUGCUAGUGCUGACGAGUGGCGGACGGGUGAGUAAUGCGCAGGAAUCUACCUUUUGGUGGGGGAUAACUUGGGGAAACUCAAGCUAAUACCGCAUAGACCUGAGAGGGUAAAGUGGGGGAUCGAAAGACCUCAUGCCAGAAGAUGAGCCUGCGUAAGAUUAGCUAGUUGGUAGGGUAAAGGCCUACCAAGGCGAUGAUCUUUAGCUGGUCUGAGAGGAUGACCAGCCACACUGGGACUGAGACACGGCCCAGACUCCUACGGGAGGCAGCAGUGGGGAAUAUUGGACAAUGGGCGCAAGCCUGAUCCAGCAAUACCGCGUGUGUGAAGAAGGCCUUCGGGUUGUAAAGCACUUUCAGAGGGGAGGAAAUGCUCUUUCAUAAUACGAAAGAGAGCAGACGUUACCUUCAGAAGAAGCACCGGCUAACUCUGUGCCAGCCGCCGCGGUAAGAC
rnacentral:rRNA from 1 species